CAGCCGCCGCGGGAAUACGUAGGGUGCAAGCGUUAAUCGGAAUUACUGGGCGUAAAGCGUGCGCAGGCGGUUAUAUAAGUCAGAUGUGGAAUCCCCGGGCUCAACCUGGGAACUGCAUUUGAGACUGUAUGGCUAGAGUGUGUCAGAGGGGGGUAGAAUUCCACGUGUAGCAGUGAAAUGCGUAGAUAUGUGGAGGAAUACCGAUGGCGAAUGCAGCCCCCUGGGAUAACACUGACGCUCAUGCACGAAAGCGUGGGGAGCGAACAGGAUUAGAUACCCGUGUAGUCCCUGUCUCUUAUAC
rnacentral:rRNA from 1 species